AGCUCUCCAUGCUGGCUGUGUGGCCAGCAUACCUCCUGCCUUUUCAACGAUUCCUCUGCCCUGGAUAGAGAGCGGUGUCUCAUAACAGUUUGGAAACUACAAAAGUUUCCCUGGCAGGAUGAAUGAUUGACUCGGCAACAUGUUCUUGCCUUUUGGAGUUGCCCUCCAAUUUUUCCAGGCUUGAUUCUGUAAAUCAUUUCAUCUUGUAAAAAUACUGGGCUGUGAGCACGGAUGAUCUCAAAGAUGAGGAAACAGAAGCUGGGAUAUGUGAGUAAACAUUUCCAAGGUCCUGCAGCUAAUCAAUGGUUGACAACUUCUUUCCUCUGCCUAUGUUGCCAUCCAUGUCAUGGUUUGUGUCAAGACUCUAGGAGAAGUCUACCAUCAGCACCACAGCUACUGUGCACAAAUCCAGAAUGCCAGACUGAAGUCAGAAGGAAAGAUCCUUUAUAUAUUGAAAGAAGAAAGUAGAACCAUUUCUGGGUCCCAGCUGUGGGAAGAGCUCCUGUGGCUGUGAAUUCUGACUUCUGGGUCUUGGCACAAGGUGUGGCCAGCAAGCUAAGCUGUCCUGAGGGUGUGCAGGGCCAGGGGCUGAAGACAGUGUUGGAGCAUCCACAGACUGGUUUGUCUCAAGAAGCAUGUUACUAAAUAUGAAAUAGCAAAAUCUGCAAGUGGGUUUACUUUUCCCCCAUAGAUUAGAAUGGAUUCAAUAUUAUCUCUUUAUUAGCGUCACUUUUAAUCACUUGUAUAACAAGUAGGACAGAAAGGUGGCUUGAAAGUCAAUCAUGUGAGAAUUCCAGAUAAAUUGACUUUGCUCACAACAAUCUGUUAUUCAUGUGACUAUCAACUGUCAUGUGUGCUGGGGCAAAAAAAGAAGAUAAGGAUUCACUGGUAUCAGAUAGUUCCAGGAGGGGAAACCCAGGAUUGAACUUUUUCAGCCUUCUAUGGUAAAAUUUCCUGCUCUGUCGGUGCGCCAAAGCUUUUUUCAGUUUCCUAAACUCCCAUAUUCAAGAAGAUAAGCUAUUUUCUCUUCUUUCUCAUCCUUCCUUGACAAAGCAAAGCAUAUUUUCAUUGUCUACUCUGUGUCAUCCAUGCUUGGUUCCUGUCCUCAAAGAGCUUAUAGUUCAAAUAAAGGAGAGGGAGCAUUUUACAAGGGAAUUAAAGGUAAAAGAUUCUGAAAGCCAGUUUAAAAAGUCGUGAGGGAGGGGUCUGGGAGAAGCUGAGCAGGGGUGAAAGGGUACGAAACAUUAUGGAAGGAGAACAGGGGAGCACCCUGACUACUGGGUGGAAACACCAAUCAGUGGGUAGAAACCACACAGUGGUAACACUGAUCAGUGGGUAGAAAACAAUGACAGCAGGUAUAUGAGGCAUGGAACACUUGGCUUAUUGUAAAGUUUUCAAAAUAUGCAGUCCUUUCUAUCCACCAGGGGUUGGGAGUUGUCUUUGUAUAUCAACCGUGGAAGGGCUGUUUUGGUUCAUCAUUCUGUGGUCUACCUGGGUAGACCUGAUGCAGCCGUGUUUCUGAGGAAAGGAAGAACAGCUUUUGUUUUGUGAUAUGUAAUGGUAGAUGUAGUGCCAUGGAAUGAUGCAGAUUUCAUUCAGAUAUUCUUGGAUCUUGGCCCCAGGACUCACUCAUUCUUCCCUAUAUGAGCAUUGGUAGUUACAGGUUUUAUCCUUCCUUUAAUUGUAAGUCUUUUGAAGCCAAAAACUGUAUCCAAUUUGUCACUGUCUCCUAACAGUACUUAGCAGUGUCUGAUGCAUCAUAGGGAGUUUGUAAAUGUUUGGAUAAAUAAAGGGAAAACAAAAAC
rnacentral:lncRNA from 1 species